rnacentral:rRNA from 1 species
GCUUAGCCCUAAACCUCAGUAGUUAAACCAACAAAACUACUCGCCAGAACACUACAAGCAACCGCUUGAAACUCAAAGGACUUGGCGGUGCUUCACACCCCCUAGAGGAGCCUGUCCCAUAAUCGAUAAACCCCGAUCCACCCCACCCUCUCUUGCUCAGCCUAUAUACCGCCAUCUUCAGCAAACCCUGACAAAGGUUACAAAGUGAGCGCAAGUGCCCCUUUUCGCAAAAACGUUAGGUCAAGGUGUAGCCUAUGAGAUGGUAAAAGAUGGGCUACAUUUUCUACCCUAGAAAACCCACGAUAACUCUCAUGAAACUUAAGAUCUAAGGAGGAUUUAGCAGUAAAUUAAGAAUAGAGUGCUUAGUUGAACAAGGCCAUAAAGCACGC